GGUGGUUAUGCUGCUGUGCUUGGACACAUCCUUCUGAAGUGAGUGACGCACCCAGUCCAUACUCAAUAUGUGCAAGAUUGGUCAGCCUCAGGAGGGAAAAAAGGAUGGUCUUGUCAUUUCUGUGUGAAUUUAGAAAUUACAGGGCUCCUGUCAAAGAAUCCACAGGUCUGUUUAGGGAUCUAAGUUUUCCACAUGCUGUAUAAGGACUUUUGCUAUCUUGCCAGCAGGAGCCAGGAUCUUGGAUGCAGAACCAUCUUGAAGGAAAACUCAGGAGAACCCCAGGGAGAAGAUGAUCAUCUAUUGUAAAAAAGUCACACCUUUUCUAUCAGGAACACUAGAAAUAGAAGCACGAAUCUGGAAUUAUGGCAGCAUGUUAUAAACAAGAACAGCCAGGGGGCAACCAAUGCACAAAUCUUUGCUUCACGAAAAAACUACAGGAAAGGUACAGUUGGUAUCAACCCAGAGAGUAAAAGCUGCAUGAAAAGAAACUACUGAUGGGUGUAAGAAAUGCUGAUGCAUUGAAGAUGUCUUUGCUCUUACUUGUUCUCCAUGAACACUUCUUUCCACACACUUGGCCAUCAACU